rnacentral:miRNA from 1 species
GUGGGGCAAUUGCGAAAGCUG